rnacentral:sRNA from 1 species
AAUAUCCAUCAUCUGC